rnacentral:lncRNA from 1 species
CAAGACGCCAGCUGUAGGCCCUGCGGGCCUGGUUUUCAUUUCAGCAGCUGCCCCAGGAUGUCUUCAUUCCAGCAGUCCUCGUCCCAAAUGUCUCCCUUCCCACCCAAGCCAGGCAGGCGGCUGCCCUCAGCGGGUGCUCAGGCAAAGAGCGGGAAGCCAGUGGCUUUGAUUCCGAGAUGGUCUGUCUGUUUUCUGUGCCAGGAGGUCUCCACACGGUGCAGACAAAUGCCUCUAAGACUUUAACCCCAACGCACAGUCCAGGGAAAGAAGAGUAAGGGCAGCGAGCUCUGGGAAAGAAGAAUAUUGGAAAUAGUUGAAAAAACAUAAAUGUUAAAUUAUGGGCAAACUGUCUGCUGGAGAAGAUGCAGACCCAUACAUUUUGAAAAGCAAUUGAAUGAAGGCGCAAGGCUGGAAGAUCAGAAAGCAGACCCUAAAAGGCCCCAAAUUAGUAAUACAUGCAGGAGACAUAUACAGAUCCACAACCUAAGAGACAAAGGAAAAGAUAAGCAGAUAAAGAACGUGGAAGGCUUGAACUCAGAGAAACAGACACAGAGCGAGCAGGACUCAUGGUCCCCAGCACCAUCUUGAGCUUUUAAUAAAGAAUAGUCUACAAGCAUGUUGCAGUUUUGCAUCUCUAGAC